UUAGUGAGACUGAGGAACGAUGAGGACGAGAAAGAGAU
rnacentral:sRNA from 1 species